GAGGUCAGUGAUACCCUAAAUCAGCCCCUGAAGGUCAGACGCAACUUUAGAAUACCUCAGGCAACUGUACCAAGCCUUCAGCCAACCACUCGCUGCAAAAGGAAUUCAGUUGUGUAUCACGCUGCUUUUUCUACUGGGAUGUCUCUACUACUCUCAAACAUCUGGAAUGGUGACAGGCACCUAAAUGAAAGUACGUUUAUUUUCAAAGGAAAGAGUUAUGGGUUUCACAGAAGAGAGGAGGCUUUGUUAGCAUCACAGUUUAAAUUAAUUAAUUUUUUCCUCUCUUAUAUUGUCUUCCCCAAGCAGAGGGGACGUCUGCUUUGUUUUGUCCGUAUUGGAGAAUUUCAUUAGGUAAGAAGCAGCCACUGCUUCUACUGUGUGUCAAGCAAAAUGUACAUACUUUUAAUAUUAAAAAUCUUCUCAA